rnacentral:rRNA from 1 species
GACGAACGCUGGCGGCGUGCUUAACACAUGCAAGUCGAACGGAAAGGCCCUGCUUUUGUGGGGUGCUCGAGUGGCGAACGGGUGAGUAACACGUGAGUAACCUGCCCUUGACUUUGGGAUAACUUCAGGAAACUGGGGCUAAUACCGGAUAGGAGCUCCUGCUGCAUGGUGGGGGUUGGAAAGUUUCGGCGGUUGGGGAUGGACUCGCGGCUUAUCAGCUUGUUGGUGGGGUAGUGGCUUACCAAGGCUUUGACGGGUAGCCGGCCUGAGAGGGUGACCGGCCACAUUGGGACUGAGAGACGGCCCAGACUCCUACGGGGGGCAGCAGUGGGGAAUAUUGCACAAUGGGCGGAAGCCUGAUGCAGCAACGCCGCGUGCGGGAUGACGGCCUUCGGGUUGUAAACCGCUUUCGCCUGUGACGAAGCGUGAGUGACGGUAAUGGGUAAAGAAGCACCGGCUAACUACGU